rnacentral:rRNA from 1 species
GAGUUUGAUCAUGGCUCAGAUUGAACGCUGGCGGCAUGCCUUACACAUGCAAGUCGAGCGGAUGAUGGGAGCUUGCUCCUUGAUUCAGCGGCGGACGGGUGAGUAAUGCCUAGGAAUCUGCCUGGUAGUGGGGGACAACGUUUCGAAAGGAACGCUAAUACCGCAUACGUCCUACGGGAGAAAGCAGGGGACCUUCGGGCCUUGCGCUAUCAGAUGAGCCUAGGUCGGAUUAGCUAGUUGGUGGGGUAAUGGCUCACCAAGGCGACGAUCCGUAACUGGUCUGAGAGGAUGAUCAGUCACACUGGAACUGAGACACGGUCCAGACUCCUACGGGAGGCAGCAGUGGGGAAUUUUGGACAAUGGGGGCAACCCUGAUCCAGCCAUGCCGCGUGUGUGAAGAAGGUCUUCGGAUUGUAAAGCACUUUAAGUUGGGAGGAAGGGCAGUAAGUUAAUACCUUGCUGUUUUGACGUUACCGACAGAAUAAGCACCGGCUAACUCUGUGCCAGCACG